rnacentral:rRNA from 1 species
GAUGAACGCUGGCGGCGUGCCUAACACAUGCAAGUCGAGCGAGGGUUUGCUCAGUAUUGAGUAUUCUAAAACUAGAAUGUUCAAUUCUGAACAAAACCAAGCGGCGGACGGGUGAGUAACGCGUGGGUAACCUGCCCUAUACACAAGGAUAACAUACUGAAAAGUUUACUAAUACAUGAUAAUAUAUAUUUGCGGCAUCGCAGAUAUAUCAAAGUGUUAGCGGUAUAGGAUGGACCCGCGUCUGAUUAGCUAGUUGGUGAGAUAACUGCCCACCAAGGCGACGAUCAGUAGCCGACCUGAGAGGGUGAUCGGCCACAUUGGAACUGAGACACGGUCCAAACUCCUACGGGAGGCAGCAGUGGGGAAUAUUGCACAAUGGGCGAAAGCCUGAUGCAGCAACGCCGCGUGAACGAUGAAGGUCUUCGGAUCGUAAAGUUCUGUUGCAGGGGAAGAUAAUGACGGUACCCUGUGAGGAAGCCCCGGCUAA